rnacentral:rRNA from 1 species
CACGGCAGCGGGGGCUUCCGCCUGCCGGCGAGUGGCGAACGGGUGAGACGUGCAUCUGAACCUGCCCAUGUCGUGGGGGAUAACGUAUCGAAAGGUACGCUAAUACCGCAUACGUCCUGAGGGAGAAAGCGGGAGACUCCCAAGAGCCUCGGGCGAUUGGAACGGCCGAUGUCGGAUUAGCUUAGCUUGUUGUAAAGGUUCCCCCUGGCCGCUAUCCCUUGUGGGUCGGAGAGGAUGAUCCGCCACACUGGGACGGAAACCCGGCCCCGACUCCUCCCGGAGGGAGCGCUGGGGAAUUUUGGAUUAUGGGCCCAAGCCUGCUCCGCCCCUGCCGCGUGAGUGAAGAAGGCCUUCUCUUUGUAUUGCUCUUUCGGCCAGGAAGAGAUCGUGUUCUCUAACUUAGGAUAUGGAUGACGGUACCGGAAUUACAAACACCGCACA